rnacentral:rRNA from 1 species
UACGUAGGGGGCAAGCGUUAUCCGGAAUUAUUGGGCGUAAAGGGUGCGUAGGCGGUCGUUUAAGUCUGAGGUUAAAGUGCAGGGCUCAACCCUGUGAUGCCUUGGAAACUGGACGACUUGAGUAUGGUAGAGGCAAGUGGAAUUCCAUGUGUAGCGGUAAAAUGCGUAAAUAUAUGGAGGAACACCAGUGGCGAAGGCGGCUUGCUGGGCCAUUACUGACGCUGAGGCACGAAAGCGUGGGGAGC